UAGAGAGACGUUAGAAUAUAACACACCCAAUUUUUCUUUAUUUUCGAAAACAAGCAAAAAUAAAAGCAAUGGGUGGUGGUGGAGGUGGAGCUGAUGGUGGUUCAGACAUUGCACUGCAUCCCGAGAAGGUGAAGAUUGUAGCCACAUGUUUGGUGGUUGCGGUUGGCGUAUCCCUCUUAGGGUUAUAUCUCAAGUCCGGCGCCGAAUGGAGGUCUAAUUGGUCAUUAUCUUUAAACAAGAAGAAGAAGAAGAAGCCAAUUCGAGUGUACAUGGACGGCUGUUUCGACAUGAUGCACUACGGACACUGCAACGCCCUCCGCCAAGCACGCGCCCUCGGAGAUCAAUUGGUGGUGGGCGUUGUUAGCGACGACGAAAUUAUAGCCAAUAAAGGUCCUCCAGUGACACCUGUCCAUGAAAGGAUGAUUAUGGUGAAUGCGGUGAAAUGGGUGGACGAGGUGAUUUCAGAUGCGCCAUACGCUAUAACUGAAGACUUCAUGAAGAAGCUUUUUGAUGAAUAUAAUAUUGAUUAUAUUAUUCACGGCGAUGAUCCUUGCGUCCUCCCUGAUGGCACCGAUGCGUAUGCGCUCGCUAAGAAAGCUGGCCGUUACAAACAGAUUAAGCGCACUGAAGGCGUUUCCAGCACGGAUAUCGUUGGUCGCAUGCUUCUGUGUACUCGAGAGAGAUCCAUUAGUGACAGCCACAAUCAGUCGUCAUUGCAAAGGCAGUUUAGCCAUGGGCACAGCCAGAAAUUUGAAGACGGUGGAUCUGGAAGUGGAACUCGGGUUUCUCAUUUCCUUCCUACUUCACGCAGAAUUGUACAAUUCUCCAAUGGCAAGGGGCCAGGGCAGGAUGCUCGCAUAGUUUAUAUUGAUGGUGCGUUUGAUCUCUUCCAUGCUGGACAUGUCGAGAUUCUCAAGCUUGCUCGUGCGCUUGGAGAUUUUCUUCUUGUUGGAAUACACAAUGAUCAUAUAGUCAGUUCAAAAAGAGGAGCACACCGUCCUAUUAUGAAUCUUCAUGAACGAAGUUUAAGUGUGUUGGCAUGUCAAUAUGUGGAUGAGGUGAUUAUAGGUGCUCCAUGGGAAGUAUCUAAAGACAUGAUUACAACCUUCAACAUCUCUUCAGUUGUCCAUGGGACAGUUGCAGAGAACAAUGACUUUCUGAAGCCUUGCAGGAAAAAGACAAUCCUUAUGUUGUGCCAAUCAGUAUGGGUAUCUUCCAAGUUUUGGAUAGCCCUUUAGAUAUUACAACCACCACGAUAAUUAAAAGGAUUGUAUCAAAUCAUGAAGCAUAUCAGAAACGUAAUCAGAAGAAGGCAGCAAGUGAGAGGAGGUAUUAUGAGGAUAAAGCUUAUGUAUCUGGUGAUUGAGUCUCCACCAAGCCUUGUGGGUUGUUGACUGAGCGUUGAUGUUGUUAGUGGUACCGCUGUAAAGAAGUUACCUGAGCGCUAACAUCACAUGCAGCCCAAUGAGGUUGUGAUUUGUGGUCGAGAUCACACGCUAUUAUUCGCUUCUUUGUCAGGCAAAUGAUCUCUUGGAAUUAGAUCCAGGAUACCAAUAGCAAAAUUGAGGGGCUGGAUUGUUGAGUUUUUUAAGAAAUCCACUCGGGCAUUAUCCGAGGCACUCUCGGUUGGACGUUCAUAUUUGUUAGAAGUUGAUCAUAUAUAUGUUGCCCUUAUGCUGUAACUAAACGCAGGCCCAGGUUGGGAUUUUAAAGAAUGUAAUUCUUCCCUUCUCUCUA